UUUAAGAGAAGAGGUUGCACCCUUCAUCAGUACUUUGUGGGAGCCGAGCAAGCGGCUGGGAACGGAAAGGAAAGGGCUGGGUGCCGAAAUCAAAAUAGGCUUGUGGCUGUUUUGGUUGGGUCGUGGCUUAAGAGGUCACGGACUGUCGCGAAUAUCGCGGGGCGCUUCCAAUUCA
rfam:Lactobacillus ingluviei strain DSM 14792 Scaffold19, whole genome shotgun sequence.